rnacentral:misc_RNA from 1 species
UUUGGGACUAACCACAACUUGUGUAUACUAUUAACUUGCAAUACUCGGGCCAGCGGAUCCUGUUUGUCUGCAAUAGUUAUGGUGGUGAAAGGUGCCUUUUGGCGGCCGCCGUCAGAGAGCAGCAGUUCCUUCCUUCUACUUUUGGUUCUUUUUCUUUUUUCUUUUGGAGUUUGUACAUUCAUAUUUUAACCAUUCUGUUCAUCAUGUGCUCCUGUUUAUUUGCUCUCUGUUUGUUAGAGCAAUGGGUAUUCACAG